rnacentral:rRNA from 1 species
UACGGAGGGGGCGAGCGUUAUUCGGAAUUAUUGGGCGUAAAGGGCGCGUAGGCGGCUGUACAAGUCAAAGGUGAAAUCCCUCGGCUCAACUGAGGAACUGCCUUUGAAACUGUACGCUUGAGGCCGGGAGGGGGUAGCGGAAUUCCCAAUGUAGCGGUGAAAUGCGUAGAUAUUGGGAGGAACACCAGUGGCGAAGGCGGCUACCUGGACCGGUUCGGACGCUGAGGCGCGAAAGCGUGGGUAGCAAACAGG